rnacentral:lncRNA from 1 species
CAGCCCCGAGUCCUGCCCAGCCCAGCCCGGCGAGAUGAGGGCGCUGGCGGCCGCGGUGCUGGUGCUGCUGCUGGUGCUGGGGCCCAUCCAGGCCGCCCGGUCCCGGCGCGAGCCCCCGGCCGAGGCUGCUGCUGAGGGCCCGGCCGAGGACUUCUUCAGCCGCCACCUCCAGACCUUCUCCGACUUCAUGACCAAGGACCUGCCCCAGAGGCUGCAGGUGGAGGAGAUGCGGAGCCAGGCUGAGGCGUACCUGGAGCGGGCCAACAAGCAGCUGAUGCCGCUGGCCCAGGAGCUGCGGAGCAACGUCCUCGGGCUCUUCUCCUCCCUCCUGGACCUGGGCAAGAGCAAGGAGCAGCCCUGAGCCCCCCCGGCCCCCGGCCCCCAAUAAACCCCUUGAGGCGC